ACUUGAAUGUAUUUAAAAAAAUUCUCCACAGUUUUGUCUUCCUCAGAUUGUUUUUAUCCUUAUUCUCUGAAAUUCCUGUUUUAUUGUCUAAGACUUAAGAGAUUCAGCUUUAUCAAGUUAGAGUACAGUGUAAUUCAAAUUCUCCCUCCCUUGGGCAUAGUUACUGAAGUUCAAAUUUCCUUAAGUAUUUUUUAAAAACCUGAUUUUAGUUUUUUUUUUCCUGCAGAAUCUUAACUUUUCCAUUAUUCUGGAUGACAAAUAAACAUUUAUUAAAAUGUGUUAGAAUUAGUAUUUACUAGGUUCCUAAAUUGUCAGUAUAGGUACUUUGAUCACACAUCAAAAUGGAAUUUCUGCAACUUAAAGCAUUUUGUUACAAAUUGUAGUUGAAAUAGAAUUUUAUCUAUUUGUCUGGAUGAAUAGGUUGUUGGGAAUGAACCAGUUAUCUGUUCUUUUCUUCCAAAUGCAAAUGGUGCAGCUAGUUGAUAAUAGUAUAUUCUCAUCCUACUAUAAAGUGCAAAUUUCACCUUAAUUUUGCAUAUUUUAAAAUUUUUGUUUACCCUUUGUAGCAUAUUUACAUUUUAGCAUUUGCUAACAUUGAUUUAAUGUGUUAAAGAUUCAUUUUGGAUAUAGGGUUGACUUGUUGGAGAUACUAGUUCAUAAUUUUAAAAUUCCCAAGAGAAGUGUCUUUGAAGUGGUAAACACAGUGCACUUUAAGCCACUUCUCUUCCCACAGAGUCCAGCUGAAGGAGGUAAGGGCAUGCUGCAUGAGAGUAAUGCCGUGAUGAGUGUCUUACUCUGGUAAAAUGCCAUUUACAAUGCCUGGAGACUGAACACUGAACAAAACAUAGUGCCCUUAGAAUUUCACUGGAAAAACAUGUGAAUCACAUAAGUUAGUUGGCAAAAGGAACUGAUGUGUAUGUGGUGGGGUUGCUUUGAAUAAAGUAUUUCCUAACCUAUUCUGGGGAGAACGCUCAACUGAUCUUAGAGAAGUGUGAAAUCAGUUUCAUAGACUUAGGGAAAAAUCUGAAGUGCUUGCACUGUGAGGGCAGAGGCCUGCCUCAUUAGUCUAGCUGUAUGAACAUGUCAGUCCACAGAAGCAGUUUUUACCUGUACUCAUCUGCCCUUCAGUCAGCUUUGUGACAGAAGGGCAAACAUCUUCACAGAAGAAAAAGUUCAGAAGGUUGGCAUUGGUGGUUUCAUUGCUACAGAAUAAUAGUGUUACUUGAUAGUAUCUGACUAAAAGAGCUCUCAUUUUCUAGUACUUAGUAGUAAAAAGAAUGUGGUGGAGUCCUCCAGAUGUCUAGUGUGGGUGGAGGAUAUCAACUGGUUAUUUCAGUGAUCUACAGCCUUACCUUUUGAAUGCUAAAUGUCUGGAAACUUCAGGCAGGGUCCUACAAAACAAACUGCCAUCAAGAUUGGUGUGUACCAUGAAGGCAGUUUUAGAUAGUUUGACUGUUCAUGGCUGCAAGAAAGACCUAAAAUUCAAGGGCCCGUGAACUUCAGAUACGUAAAAGGAAUAUCACUUCUGUUCUAGAAGAGUACUAAUUAGACUUGUUUGUGAAAUUUGAAAAUUUGGCUUUGAGACACUGGUAACAAACAUAUCUGAGCCCUCCUAAGUUUGGUCAGCACGGAGUAGUAGCUCUGGCAUCAUGUGGCUGUGUAGAGCUCCAGUGUGAUUUCAAGCCCCCUCUAAAAACUGCCUUAGUCUGCAUGAAGUAGUUAACUCUCCAAAGUGCUUUUUGUCUGGCAAAUCCCUUCACAAUUUUCACCUCUCGUCUAAAAGCUUCCUUAAAGGAAGCCUUCCUUGAUCCCUUAGGCUAGGUUAGGUUUCCAGUCUGUGUUCUCAUAGCACUCUGCACUUUUUGGUUCCUUAAAGCAACUCUGUGUUAUUUUUUAGAAUUUUAAUCUGAAUCUCGUGUGUCACAUACCUAGGUCAGAAAAUACUGGAACAAUGAAGUUAAGAUUUAGUAAUUCAAAUUAUGUAAAAUGCUCAUAUAUAUGUUUUUAGAUUAGCAGCUUUAUGAUGCCGAUGCUGAAGGAACUUUUCACCCCAUUCUUACAAGUCUGCU
rnacentral:lncRNA from 1 species